GGUCUGCGUAGGGACCCGGCGCCGAUGAAACCGACCAAACUGGAGUUAGCUACCGGACUGUCCCGCGAGCGGCUGUACUUUGCAUUUUGAAGAGUCUAAGAAUACAUUCCAUAUCUUCAAAUAUUUUAUUGUGGGCAAUUUAUAAUAACAUAGCCUGGGUAAUGCCAAUGUAAAGUUGGAAAUAAUACCUAAACCUACUUCUUGACAUGGUGUCAAAACAGAGCUUUUGCUGAGAGUUUGAUUUAUAAAGAAAUUAUGGUUCGACUGACCUUGGAUCUAAUUGCCAGAAACAGCAAUCUUAAACCCCGAAAAGAAGAAACCAUUUCACAGUGCCUGAAGAAAAUAACUCAUAUAAAUUUUUCAGACAAAAAUAUAGAUGCAAUUGAAGACCUCUCUCUUUGCAAAAAUCUUAGUGUUUUAUAUUUAUAUGAUAAUUGUAUUAGUCAAAUCACUAACCUGAAUUAUGCCAC
rnacentral:lncRNA from 1 species